rnacentral:rRNA from 1 species
GACGAACGCUGGCGGCGUGCUUAACACAUGCAAGUCGAACGGAAAGGCCCUGCUUUUGUGGGGUGCUCGAGUGGCGAACGGGUGAGUAGCACGUGAGUAACCUGCCCUUGACUUUGGGAUAACUUCAGGAAACUGGGGCUAAUACCGGAUAGGAGCUCCUGCUGCAUGGUGGGGGUUGGAAAGUUUCGGCGGUUGGGGAUGGACUCGCGGCUUAUCAGCUUGUUGGUGGGGUAGUGGCUUACCAAGGCUUUGACGGGUAGCCGGCCUGAGAGGGUGACCGGCCACAUUGGGACUGAGAUACGGCCCAGACUCCUACGGGAGGCAGCAGUGGGGAAUAUUGCACAAUGGGCGGAAGCCGGAUGCAGCAACGCCGCGUGCGGGAGGACGGCCUUCGGGUUGUAAACCGCUUUCGCCUGUGACGAAGCGUGAGUGACGGUAAUGGGGAAAGAAGCACCGGCUAACUACGU